rnacentral:rRNA from 1 species
AUGGAGAUCGCCAUGGGGGCCAUUGGCCCUCUCCUCCCGAAGCUCGGUGAGCUGCUCAUGGGCAAGCUCACCAUGGAGAAACAAGUAAGGAAAGGUAUCGAGUCUCUCGUAACAGAGCUGAAAUUGAUGCAUGCUGUCCUUAGCAAGGUGUCGAAAGUGCCCGCAGACCAGCUGGAAGAAGGGGUCAAGAUCUGGGCAGGAAAUGUCAAGGAGUUGUCCUACCAAAUGGAGGACAUCGUUGAUGCCUUCAUGGUGCGUGUGGGGGAUGGUGGCGAGUCCACCAACCCGAAGAACAGAGUCAAGAAGAUACUGAAGAAGGUCAAAAGAUUAUUCAAGAAUGGCAAGGAUCUCCAUCGAAUAUCCGAUGCCCUGGAAGAAGUGGUUCUUCAAGCUAAGCAGUUGGCCAAGCUACGUCAAAGGUACGAGCAAGAGAUGCGGGACACUAGUGCUAAUACUAGUGUUGACCCUCGCAUGAUGGCCUUGUACACAGAUGUGACAGAUCUCGUCGGCAUUGAAGAAACACGAGACAAGUUGAUCAACAUGUUGACUGAAGACGAUGAUUGGUCGAAGCAUCCAUUGAAGACGAUCUCUAUUGUUGGAUUUGGUGGGUUAGGCAAGACAACUCUUGCCAAAGCAGCAUAUGACAAGAUUAAAGUGCAAUUUGAUUGUGGUGCUUUUGUCUCGGUUUCACAAAACCCUGAAAUGAAAAAGGUUUUGAAGGAUAUUCUCUAUGGACUUGACAAGGUCAAGUACGAAAACAUACAUAAUGCAGCGAGGGACGAAAAGUAUCUCAUUGACGAUAUAAUUGAAUUCCUUAAUGACAAGAGGUACCUCAUCGUAAUCGAUGAUAUAUGGAAUGAAAAAGCAUGGGAGUUACUUAAGUGUGCCUUUUCCAAGAAGAGCCUCGGAAGCCGACUAAUCACGACAACCCGCAAUGUUAGUGUCUCUGAAGCAUGUUGCUCUUCUGAGGGUGAUAUUUAUAGAAUGGAAUCCCUUUCUGAUGAUGUAUCAAGAACACUCUUCUGUAAAAGAGUAUUUUCACAAGAAGAAGGCUGCCCUCAAGAAUUAUUGCAAGUAUCCAAUGAAAUUUUGAAGAAAUGUGGCGGUAUACCGUUAGCUAUUAUUACUAUAGCAAGUCUUCUAGCUAAUAAGGGUCAUAUAAAAGCAAAGGAUGAAUGGUAUGCUUUGCUCAGUUCCAUUGGUCAUGGACUCACAGAAGAUCGCAGUUUGGAGCAGAUGAAAAAGAUAUUAUUAUUCAGCUAUUAUGAUCUACCUUCAUAUCUGAAACCUUGUCUAUUAUAUCUUAGCAUCUUCCCAGAAGAUUAUGAGAUUCGGAGAGAUAGACUAAUAUGGAGAUGGAUAUCAGAAGGCUUUAUUUAUAGUGAAAAGCAAGAUAUUAGCUUAUAUGAGAUCGGUGACAGCUACUUCAAUGAGCUAGUAAAUAGAAGUAUGAUCCAGCCAAUGGGCAUUGAUGGUGAAGAAAAGGUAUUGGCUUGCCGUGUACAUGACAUGGUGCUUGACCUCGUAUGCUCAUUAUCAGUUGAAGAAAACUUUGUCACAAUACUAGAUGACACCAGAAGAAAAAUACCUAACUCAGAGAUCAAGGUUCGCAGAUUGUCCAUUCAAAAUACCAAGAUAGAUGUGGAUACCACUAGGAUGGAGCAUAUGAGAUCUCUUACUGUUUUCACAAGUGAUGUUGUUGGGAAAGUGUUGGAUAUUUCAAGCUUUCAAGUUCUGCGCGUGUUGGAUUUAGAAGGUUGUCGUGAUGUCUCAGAUGUCGGGUAUGUGGGGAAUCUGUUGCAUUUGAGGUACUUGGGGCUAAGAGGUACUCGUGUUAAGGACCUCCCCAUGGAAAUAGGGAAGCUGCAGUUUUGCUUACCUUGGACUUAA